rnacentral:rRNA from 1 species
GUAGGGAAUAUUGGUCAAUGGACGAAAGUCUGAACCAGCCAUUCCGCGUGCAGGAAGAAGAUUCUAUGGAUUGUAAACUGCUUUUAGCAGAGAAGAAACGCCUUCAUUGAUGAGGGUUUGACGGUAUCUGCGGAAUAAGCACCGGCUAACUCCGUGCCAGCAGCCGCGGUAAUACGGGGGGUGCAAGCGUUAUCCGGAAUCACUGGGUUUAAAGGGUGCGUAGGCGGGAAAUUAAGUCAGUGGUGAAAGUCUGUUGCUUAACGAUAGAAUUGUCGUUGAUACUGAUUUUCUUGAAUUGGGUUGAGGUUAGCGGAAUGUGACAUGUAGCGGUGAAAUGCAUAGAUAUGUCAUGGAACACCAAUUGCGAAGGCAGCUAGCUGGGCCUUGAUUGACGCUGAGGCACGAAAGCGUGGGUAGCGAACAGGAUUAGAUACCCUAGUAGUCC